rnacentral:rRNA from 1 species
CCCUUAGAUGUUCUGGGCCGCACGCGCGCUACACUGUUCGACGCAGCGAGUCUUAACCUUGACCGAAAGGUUUGGGUAAUCUUCAGCAAAGUCGAACGUGAUGGGGAUCGAUCAUUGCAAUUAUUGAUCGUGAACGAGGAAUUCCUAGUAAGUGCAAGUCAUCAGCUUGCGCUGAUUACGUCCCUGCCCUUUGUACACACCGCCCGUCGCUACUACCGAUUGAAUGGUUUAGUGAGAUCUCUGGAUUGGCGCUGGCUAGGGGGCGACCCUUGGCCAGACUGCUCGAGAAACUGCUCAAACUUGAUCAUUUAGAGGAAGUAAAAGUCGUAACA